AUUGAACGCUGGCGGCAGGCCUAACACAUGCAAGUCGAACGAGUGGCGGACGGUUGAGUAAUGUCUGGGAAACUGCCCGAUGGUGGGGGAUAACUCCUGGAAACGGUAGCGAAUACCGCAUACCAUCGGAUGUGCCCAGAUGGGAUGAGCUAGUAGGUGGGGUAACGGCUCACCUAGGAGACGAUCACUAGCUGGUCUGAGAGGAUGACCAGCCACCCUGGAACGUAGAAACGGUCCAGAUGCCUACGGGAGGCAGCAGUGUGGAAGAUUGCACAAUGGACGCAAGCCGGAUGCAGCCAUGCCGCGUGUAUGAAGAAGGCCUUCGGGUUGUAAAAUACUUUCAGCGCGGAGGCGUUACUCGCAGAGGAAGCACCGGCUAACGCCGUGCCAGCAGCCGCGGUAAUUC
rnacentral:rRNA from 1 species